UGCGGUGGUGCUCGUGUUGGUACGGGCAGGCGGCUGUUAACCGUCCUGACGCAGGUUCGAUUCCUGCCACCGCAGC
rnacentral:tRNA from 1 species